rnacentral:rRNA from 1 species
CCUACGGGAGGCAGCAGUGGGGAAUCUUGCGCAAUGGGCGGAAGCCUGACGCAGCGACGCCGCGUGCGGGACGAAGGCCUUCGGGUCGUAAACCGCUUUCAGCAGGGACGAGGCCCUCACGGUGACGGUACCUGCAGAAGAAGCCCCGGCUAACUACGUGCCAGCAGCCGCGGUAAUACGUAGGGGGCGAGCGUUAUCCGGAUUCAUUGGGCGUAAAGCGCGCGUAGGCGGCCUGUUAGGUCGGGGGUCAAAUACCGGGGCUCAACCCCGGUCCGCCCCCGAUACCGGCAGGCUUGAGUGGAGUAGUGGACGGCGGAAUGGGGGGGGUAGAGGGGGAAUGGGCAGAUAUUGCGAAGAACACAGGCGGGGAAGGCGGCGGUCUGG